AUGGCUCUAUUUAAAUUGGAGAGUUUAGCUGAUAUGUAUUGUAUGCAGAUGAUUAUGAGCAAGAUGCAAGGACACAAAAAGCCUGGGAUGCAGAAAGACCAGGACACACAAAUCUGGAGAGGUCCUUGGUCAUCAGCUGGUCCAUCAUGGGCUUUGUAUAACGGUGGUGCAGGGCCGCAGGCCAAAAUUGAGCAUGUUAAUGUUGGGAUUUACAUCCUUGGUCCUCAUGGUGCUGCCGCUGAAGUAGAUCAUAUGCAUUUUACUGAAGUGGGAGUACUGCCAGUUCUCCACUCAGCGUAA
rnacentral:rRNA from 1 species